rnacentral:rRNA from 1 species
UACGAAGGGGGCUAGCGUUGUUCGGAUUUACUGGGCGUAAAGCGCACGUAGGCGGAUCUUUAAGUCAGAGGUGAAAUCCCAAGGCUCAACCUUGGAACUGCCUUUGAAACUCCCAGUCUUGAGUUCGAGAGAGGUGAGUGGAAUUCCGAGUGUAGAGGUGAAAUUCGUAGAUAUUCGGAGGAACACCAGUGGCGAAGGCGGCUCACUGGCUCGAUACUGACGCUGAGGUGCGGAAGCGUGGGGAGCAAACAGG